rnacentral:tRNA from 1 species
GCCGGGGUGGCGAAAUUGGCAGACGCAAGGGACUUAAAAUCCCUCGGUCAUUCAAUGACCGUGCCGGUUCGAGUCCGGCCCUCGGCA